UUAAUUUUAUGAUUUUUUAAAGGAAGUACAAUAAAUUGAAGUGAGAAAAUUAUAAUUUUUGGAUUGGAAAAUCAAGCUUGAUCUCAAGAAUGCGUAAGCUGAAACGGUUCAUAAAUCUGAGUUGAAACGAAGAAUUUAUGCUCGUUUGAACUUUUAGGGAGUUCAUUGCAAAAGUGAAAAGUUACAGAUUUUGUCUAUAAAUUAUGCAAGGCUAAAGGGGCGAUUUUCGGCGGCUGCUGAGGCGGCGUCCGAAGAAGGUGAUCGACACCACCCAUGUCGAUCGAAAGUUGAGUAUCUCGCGAGCAUAAAACAACAAGAAUCGGAGCAAUCUGAGCAAUGGUGAAGGCGCAGCGGUGUUGGGAAGUUGGCUCAUGAAUAGUGAAGUCAACGACUUCAACCAGCGGUUUGAGCCACUUCCGCUUCGAAUUGACUUUGAGGUUUUGCGAGCCAGAGUUUGAGGAUUGUAGAGCUUGAGUGGUUGUUGUGGACUUGUGAGUUGUUAAAGUUACUCAGCUUGGACGAGAGGGCUAAUCCUACAGGGAAUAGGAACCCAUGACUUCGUAAGGAGCUGAAAGCAGAAGGUGUACUUGCAGUGGACAAAGUUUGGUUUGAGAGAGUUGGUGUGUUUAGACUUCCGCUGUAUGUAUUAAGCUUUGAGGAGCAGAGUAUGUAAUAUGUUGAUUGUUCAAUUUAUUAUAUAUGUUGUAAUGUAAUAUUUGACUCGGAAGAUGGAGUCACUAUUGACAUUGUGGUUCCGAACAUGUGGUAUUGUAUUAUGGAAAAAGAAAAGAUUCAUUGUA